GCCCGCUCAAGAAACUUAAUGAAUUGACGGGGCCGCACAAGCGUGGAGUAUGUGGUUUAAUCGAUGCAACGCGAAGAACCUUACCUGGUCUUGACAUCCCGGAGACCCUUAGGAAACUAGGGGGUGCUUCCAUCUGGAAGAAUCUGGAGACAGGUGCUGCAUGGCUGUCGUCAGCUCGUGUCGUGAGAUGUUGGGUUAAGUCCCGCAACGAGCGCAACCCUUGCCUUUAGUUGCCAGCAGUUCGGCUGGGCACUCUAAAGGGACUGCCGGUGUUAAACCGGAGGAAGGUGGGGAUGACGUCAAGUCCUCAUGGCCUUUAUGACCAGGGCUACACACGUACUACAAUGGCCGAUACAAAGGGCAGCGACACUGCGAGGUGAAGCCAAUCCCGUAAAAUCGGUCUCAGUCCGGAUUGGAGUCUGCAACUCGACUCCAUGAAGUUGGAAUCGCUAGUAAUCGUGGAUCAGCAUGCCACGGUGAAUACGUUCCCGGGCCUU
rnacentral:rRNA from 1 species